AUGGCUGCAACAAUACAAAUAAUGACAGAUUGUAAUGACCAUUACAUACAUGACAAUUACAAAGAUAAGGCUUAUUCUUAAUAUUCAGUAUAAUGAACUUUUUUUACACUGAUUGUCUCUCUCAGGAAAGCCAACUCCUGCGAUAACUGAAGAAUCGGUUUACUCUGAAGUCAAACCAGAUCAAUAAAGUUCUGUAUCUAUAGACAUAAGGAAUGGAUGGCAGCG